rnacentral:rRNA from 1 species
UUUUUUAGAGAGUUUGAUCCUGGCUCAGGAUGAACGCUGGCGGCGUGCUUAACACAUGCAAGUCGAACGGAGUUAUCAUUUUUGAAGCGAUCAGCUUGCUGAGAGUGGAAAUGUUGAUAACUUAGUGGCGGACGGGUGAGUAACGCGUGGGUAACCUGCCAUAUACAGGGGGAUAACACUUAGAAAUAGGUGCUAAUACCGCAUAAGCGCACGGUGCUGCAUGGCACAGUGUGAAAAACUGAGGUGGUAUAUGAUGGACCCGCGUCUGAUUAGCUGGUUG